GAAUAAAGUACGAGUAUAAGUACCAGCUAGUACUUGUAAAAGUACAAUAAUAACUAGGAGUUUAACACCGGAGGAAGUAGUGAAGGUGUAGGUAGAAAAUACGACGAAUAACUCGGUCACAAAGAGGGACAUCCGGUAAGACGUAGUGAAGGACGACAAGGAUCCCCGGCGGCAGAAAGUUUACAACUCUAGUUUACAGGUACCAGGUACAGUAGGCCAGUACAUAGUCUCGCCGAGUAAACGUCUAAGACAAACAGCUCCAAAAUUACAAUCUUGAUGUUUAACACUCAACAACAGCAUGUUUAGUAAUUAUUACGCGUAGACCGGCGUUUCAGGUCUCUUUGAACUCUCCUGACCAUGACUGUCAAUAAAAAUAAUGCCACCGUUUAUUUAUUGCCAGUUUAAAUAAUUAUUCCAGUUAUAACUUGGCUUUAUACGCGUAAAUGUCAGUUAACAUGACAGCUAUCGAAUAACUCACUGACAGAGGAAAGGGGGUGGGGCGCGUUUUUAAACAGAAACAAUACAACGUUAUGAUAAUAUAAUGAAAAAAUAAAAAUAGUACGAGUUGUAAGUGAAAGUGAAUAAAAGAUAGAAUAAAAUAAAAAUAAAUAAAUAUUAAAAUGAGCGCACUGAGACCCUGAACGGUAACACCUGUCAUCAGUGCCGGUUGUUGGUGCCGAUAAUCAGAUAGAUGACAGUUCUAGCUCCGUGGAUGACUCAAGAAUGGAAACGCCUUUUUAUAAUGGACAUCAACACUUGACCACACUGGUAACUUGCUAUUGAAAUAAGCGACUGGACAAAUGGAAUAUUAUUGUCAUAAUAUUAAAUCGGGUCGCCGGUUUUUGGAGUUUUGUAAAAUUGACAACGGACAGUGGUAGCCAACGUUAAAAAAACAACUCAACAGUUAACGAUAAUCUAUCUUGCGAUUGGUCUUGAACUGACAGGACAGCGAGAGCAUAAAGGUUCAUUAAGUAUGUACACAUUGUACAAGUGUUUGUUGGUCAACUCACCGCUACGAGGGCUGCUAAUCUAUCCUUAGUCAUGGUUUUAUGACGAGUUACACGACAGUCAACGGACGUUAGAUUUACAACAAUUUACAGUUAAUAAUUCCAUUCACGUAAAAAUCCUUCAUGUAACAACGAGGAGCACGGCCACUAAAAACUAACGAAUCGGACACACUAACCGCCAGAGACACGAUCGUAAAA